CGUGUCGCGACAUGGACGUGCAGGGGGAUGUCUGUCGCGAUAGAGUUGAUGUGACAGCCCGCUACACCUCUCUGUCGCGACAUG
rnacentral:pre_miRNA from 1 species